rnacentral:tRNA from 1 species
AUCCCUAUAGUAUAGCGGUAAAGUACAACAGAUUUUCAAUUUGUGGAGGAGGGUCCGAUUCCCUCUAGGGAUA